rnacentral:rRNA from 1 species
AACGAACGCUGGCGGCAUGCCUAACACAUGCAAGUCGAACGAGACCUUCGGGUCUAGUGGCGCACGGGUGCGUAACGCGUGGGAACCUGCCCUUAGGUUCGGAAUAACUCCCCGAAAGGGGUGCUAAUACCGGAUAAUGUCUUCGGACCAAAGAUUUAUCGCCUUUGGAUGGGCCCGCGUUGGAUUAGCUAGUUGGUAGGGUAAAAGCCUACCAAGGCGACGAUCCAUAGCUGGUCUGAGAGGAUGAUCAGCCACACUGGGACUGAGACACGGCCCAGACUACUACGGGAGGCAGCAGUGGGGAAUAUUGGACAAUGGGCGAAAGCCUGAUCCAGCAAUGCCGCGUGAGUGAUGAAGGCCUUAGGGUUGUAAAGCUCUUUUACCCGGGAUGAUAAUGACAGCACCGGGAGAAUAAGCUCCGGCUAACUCCGUG